ACCCUAAAUCCAAGGACAUUAACAUUAUAUUUUGUUAACUAAAGACAUCGCUUCUAUAUUAAUUUAGAAAUGAAAGCCUCUGACAGUAAUCGUUUAUUUCUUCUUCUAUUUGACAGUAAUUCUAUUUCUUUUUUUUUUUUUGUCUGUGUGGAUCAGACGCAACAUGAAAUGGAUUGAAGACAGCGCUUACUACCCAGAGCAUUGAAAAAGAUCCAAACUUUUACACCCAUUGACUCGUACAAUUAUUUUUAGAAAGAUGGAGUGGUAUUCGUAUUAAGAGAGAUACUAGAAUAGGGAACAUAGGAAGUUUGCUUACAGAACAACAAAACCAGAGAUGUAUCUUUCUCUUUAUUUUGUUUUGUUUCAGGCUUCAAUGCGUGGGAAAAGCAGGGAGACGAAAGCAAACAUGAGGCUUUGCCGGGUGUGUUGUUACCAUAUUCAACUAGUGAGGAGACGAAUUGUAUUGGAAAUGAUGGAGAGUUUGUUUGUACAAGAGAACGUUAUCGAAAGAUUAUUCUCCAAAAUGGUUGAUGUCGAAGAGUUGUUAAUGGACCCCUUGAAAGCAUUUCUUUUGAUCUUGCUUUAGAUACAUUAGCUGAAGUGUGUAGGCGGAACUCUGUGCAUAAGUAGUUUGGAGGGGAUGUGAUGGAGAAUGAUUUUGUGGGCAAUAGCAGUUUUCUUAUGCUUUUUAUUUGUAUUUUGAAUGCGUAAAAUUUAAUAUUUUGGUUUUAUAAAGUUUUACGAGAUUGAAACAGGUUUGGACUAAUUGAAUUGAAUACUAGGUAUUACUAUGUACAAAAAAAAAUUGGAUUAUUGGAUUUCUCAGGUACAAAUUAAAAUUAUUAAAAUAAUACUAGGUUUAUGAAGUAUUAUUAAGCCAAACAAAUGCCUGAAAGGAAUAAACAAUAUUAGUUUAAGAUAAAUAAUUUAUAUAAAUAAUUUAUUUUAAUUUGUUGUAUGUAAUAAAUUGGGAGAAAAAAAACUCAAGAAGUCGUCCAUAGUAAUAUUGUAGGAAUUAGGUUUGAUAGGUAUUACUAAGAAGACAAUUUUUUUUUGUCUAAAACGUGUUUAAAACUUUUAAUAAUAAAACACGUCUAAAACGUGUUGAAAAAUAGAUAAUACAUGUUCGAAUAUUUACACUUAGUAAUACUCAAGGUAGUAGUAAUAUUUUAUUCUUCAUAGUAAUACUUUUGCAAAAUACAAUAUUUUUUAAUAAUACAACUUCAGAAAACAAAUUUAUUAGUAAUACCAAUAUAUUUAUACAGUUUUAGAUUGUAUAUAACACAUUGCCAAAAAAAAGUUUCAAAAAAUAUGUAUUUUCAAUUAUUCAUCUCAUAAUGACAUUCCAAUCAAAACAUUAGUAUGGAAGUAUAAAGAUGUUUUCUAUGGAAAUGAGAAGUUUUCUAAGAGCUUAAAAAAUUAUAAGGCUCUAACUGGUAACCAUAAAAAGAAUAAAAAGAAUAAAAUGGAAUAAAAUAAAAGGAAAAUCUAUUCCUCUCCUAUUUUUUCAAGAAAUAAUUGUAGUCUUUUAUUCUUUAAAUCUUAAGGAAUGUUAAGGAAUCAUACGUAACAAAUAUUCCUUGUAAAUGGUGAAAAUUGUAAGAAAUGUUAAUGAAUUAACUAUUCCCACCCAUUCCCUUGGUCACCAUUUGGAGCGAGUAUUUUAGUCUAAUUUGACAAAUAAACACUUAUAUGGACAUAUUAUCACGUAAUAUAUGAUAUACAUCUUCUAAAAAUAAA